GCCUCGGUGGUGCAGUGCUAACACACGUUCCCGGUAUGGGUGAAACGCGGGUUCAACUCCCAACUGAGGCU